rnacentral:lncRNA from 1 species
AAAGUGCUAUGGGACAAGAACCAUACUAGGUACUGAGGACACAAAGAUGUAUGAUAUCGUCACUGUUCUCAAGAUGCUCCUUGUCUAGUAGAGAAGCACAUGAGUUAAAUUGAAAAAAGCCUAAUUUGCUAUAUCACAUACAAGCAACAAGUCUUAUGGAAGGCCAAGGGAGAAUACCCUACUCAGCCUAGGAGCUAAAAACAGCCUCCCAGACAAAGAAAGUCAUGUCAACUAGGAUGUAAAUCUUACACUGAGAGAGAGAGAGAGGGAGGAAGGAAGGAGAAGAGAGCUGGGAGGGGAGGGGGAGAGAGAGAGAGAGAGACAAACAGACAGACUAACUUGGGACAGGGAGCACUGGGCUAUAAAAUCCUUUGUUAACCAGUAGUUCCUCUUUCAAACUUCCACAGGGAAAUGUGUGCACAGGAACUAAUGAUCAGCUCUGGCCCUGAGUCAGUGAAAUGAACAGGUGAGGACAGACCAUGGGGAUUGUGCAGAGCAAGUUGCCUACAACAAAGGAGGAAAAUCAAGAGACUAUGGUAUCUUGCAAGCCAAGUGAAGAAUAUGUAUCAGAGUGGAAGAAAUGCUUAACUGUGUCCAUUGUCAAGACUGAUUGGCCACAAAAGGGUAAAGAAAGACUGAGUACUGGAUUUGGCAAUCUGCAGACCUAUGAUGACCUUGAGCAGUUUCAAAGGAGUAAUGGGGACAGAGUGAGAUGGGUUUAACUGAAAAUGGAGGAGAGAAAUUGGAGAAAGUAAGUAAGUUUUGACAAGGUUUUGGUGUGAAGAACAGCUUCCAAUAUUAUUUCUACCCUGAUAAGCUUUUGACUGCACGUCCCUCAAUAUACUUCUUUCAACGAGAAGGAUAUUUUUCUACUGGCUCUGUCACAUUCCUGUAACUACUCUAAUGAGCCUAACUUAUUACCAUCUUAUGGAAUCUAUAGGUAUUACAAAAAUGAGUGUUUUUUUUUUUUAAACCCUUUAAUCUUUUUGCGGUUAGUCAAUAGUAUAACAAGGGUCACAGUUAGGAUAUUUGUUGAGAAUUUAUGACAGCUAAUAUAUGUAGUGACUUGAAUUACUCAGGAUCCCUGAGUUCUUUUUAAAUGAUCAAGAAACAGCUUCAUAUGUAUAAUUUUAGAUUUUUUCAUUAAUAAAAUGAAGAUUAAAA